rnacentral:lncRNA from 1 species
GGGGUGCUCAACAAAAAUGCUUCGGAGAGGAUGUCUGGAUGUCAAGUCCAAAGACUGAAUCCUACGGAAACAAAUUACUGGUCUUCGGUGUCAACACGAGAAUAUCAAAUGCAAGUGGAGGAAAAUUGUAUUGGAUUGUGGAGGUGAUGGCAAAUCAAUGACACGGAAAAUCUAUGGAGAGCAGUUCAUAGUGACACAAGAAAGCAGUGUCCGCAUAAAUCAGGGGAGACCAAUGGACACUGAAAGGGAAUUUCCAUGCAAGAUUAAGUGGACAUUGUUAUCGUGUCAGGACUGUGUGAAAUAAGUGCGAAAUGAGGACGAUACUGGGAUACCAACACUUAGACCAAGCAAUGUCAACAGAAAUUACUCUCUCAUUAAAGGAAAACAAAAGGCUAAUGGCCUAGCUCAGUUACAACCUCUGUCAGCAGCAGUAGCAGCUGCUGGGGUAGCUGAUGGGUCAGGGCAAUGGAUCAGGGCCCUGCUGCGUUUGGUGCUAAGCAAAUACGUGCCUACACUGUAGUCCUGGCCUGAAAGCUGACAAGGAUGUGCAAGAGAUGUCCGUAAAGGCGACAUGGCAGCAUAUGAAGAGGUAGAAGGACAGCACGUGGUUUCUGCUUUUCUGAGCCUUCUGUGUGCAGCCGGGAGAGGUGAAGGAAGAGGAGGGUGGCACUCUGGGGACAGUGUGGGGACAUGGGGCUGAAGGGGAUGGCUGUUGCUUGCGGUGAGUGGGAGUGGGCAAGGUGAUGCUGGUGGGAAGGAGAAGCUGAUGGUGAAGUCAACAUUGGGUCCGGGCUUGAGGCUGGAAGGGCAUCAUGGUAUGUAAAAAAAAGGAAAGAAGGAUGAGUCCUACCUAAUUUUAAGUAUCUAUGAGGCAGCUUGCAUGUACCCCGAGCUCCUGCCUGACAAGCAGGGGUGGAAUAAGCCCUGCUGCAAGUGCUGCUGUUCUGGAAACACCUCCCCAGCAAGGCAGGCCUUCAGCCCACCCAGCAGAGCUGGGCCUCAGGGAAGGCUGCGGGAAUUUUACCACCAGUUUGGUGGUAAAUGGGAUCAGGCCUCAUAUCCACAAAGCAGUGCAGUUUUGGUGGCUGUUGUUCAUAGACACCCUGACAAAGCAGGAGGAGAUAUGGAGAGGAACUACAACAUGGAGAGGAACUACAUGACAGCAUGUCUGCGACAGUGA